GUUUAAGAAGAUAUCAGGCUUAUAUAGUGCAUUUGAUAUAAAACUCACCAAUUUAAGGUCUGGAGACUUAAAAAUACAGUCCAGGCUAGAUGCAGUGGCUCACACGUGUAAUCUCAGAAUUUUGGGAGGCUGAAGUGGGAGGAUUGCUUGAGCCCAGGAGUUUGAAACCAGCCUGGACAACAUAAUGAGACAUAGUCACUACAGAAAAUAAAAAAGUUACCUGGGCGUGGUGGCUUGUGCCUAUAGUCCCAGCUACUUAAGAGGCUGAGGUAGGAGGAUUACUUGGGCCAGGAGAUCGAGGCUGCAGUGAGCUGUGAUUGUGUCACUGCACUGCAGUCUCAAAAAAGAAAAACCAACUAAACAAAAACUUUAAUUUUCUAAACAUUUAAAUGUAUUGACUCUUUUCCUGAUGCUAUUACAUAUUAGCAUAUAUGUUAUCACCAUUAUAUGUGCUGUUUCAGUUACGGAAUCUUUCAUUACCAGAGAUGCAAUCUGAAUGAUGUCUUGUUGGAUUUAUUAUUUGUCAUUUCCCAAUUGCAAGUAUGUAAAUUACUUAUCAAAGACAUUUCUGUUAAAUGAGAAGAACAAAGAUUUCUUGAAUUGAUUUGUAGUAAGCUGUGUUUUUAAUAAUUUCUGGAAAAGGAAAGAAAGCAUUUUUAGAGAAGAAUUUGUUAAAAUUUUAAGCCUCUCAAUGGCAUCCAUUAGUAUAAUUAAAGAUAUUGUAGUGGCAGGCUAAUCUAUGUUAUAAGUGAUAAGAAACAAGUGCUUCUAUAAACCAAAAGAUUGUGUUUUUCUAAAUUUUUAAGUAUUUAUGGGUUAAUUUCUAGGGUGGUGUAGUUCGAACAGCUUUCUUGUGCUAAGAUGGCAAUGAUUGAAAAUUCACCUUCCUGGAAUACAUUUUUUUUUAACUGAAAACUUCAGUACAGUACAGUGUUUGUUAUUCUAUGUGACAGGAUACCCAGAGUUAUAUUGACGAAUGUCCUGGGAACGGAGUUAGGAAGAAAAUACAUAAGGACCCCACCUGUAACUGAGGGAAGUUUGAGUGAUACAGACAACUUGCAAUCAGAGCAACUUUCUUCAUCAUCUGAUGGCAGCCUAGAAUCUUAUCAAAAUCUAAACCCUCACAAGAGCUGUUAUUUAUCUGAAAGGGGCUCACAACGAAGUAAGACAGUAGAUGACAAUUCUGCAAAGCAGACUGCGCACAAUAAAGAAAAACGAAGAAAGGAUGAUGGCAUUUCUCUUUUAAUAUCUGAUACUCAGCCUGAAGACCUUAACAGUGGAAGUAGAGGUUGUGAUCAUCUCGAACAGGAAAGCAGAAACAAGGAUGUUAAAUAUUCUGAUUCAAAAGUGGAACUCACUCUGAUUUCCAGGAAGACAAAGAGAAGGCUUAGAAAUAAUUUACCUGAUUCUCAAUAUUGUACUUCUUUGGAUAAGUCAACAGAACAGACAAAAAAACAAGAAGAUGACUCAACAAUAUCCACUGAGUUUGAAAAGCCAAGUGAAAAC
rnacentral:lncRNA from 1 species